rnacentral:rRNA from 1 species
CCCUUAGAUGUUCUGGGCUGCACACGCGCUACACUGGCAGGUUCAGCGAGCUUCUUGCCCUGAUCUGAGAAGAAUGGGAAACCUUUUCAACACCUGCCGUGCUUGGGAUAGAUGUUUGCAAUUAUUCAUCUUCAACAAGGAUUGCCUUGUAGGCGUGCCUCAUCAGGGCACAUCGAAUACGACCCUGUAUUCUGUACACACCGCCCGUCGCUACUACCGAUUGAAUGAUUUAGUGAGGACUUCGGACUGGGACCGAUGCGGCUUUCGGGCUGCGUCGGUAUUCUGGAAAGAUGUCCAAACUGUAUCAUUUAGAGGAAGUAAAAGUCGUANCA